CCGUACACAAAAGCGCAUGUGCUGUGAGCUCGAUGAGUAGGGCGGGACACGUGGUAUCCUGUCUGAAUAUGGGGGGACCAUCCUCCAAGGCUAAAUACUCCUGACUGACCGAUAGUGAACCAGUACCGUGAGGGAAAGGCGAAAAGAACCCCGGCGAGGGGAGUGAAAAAGAACCUGAAACCGUGUACGUACAAGCAGUGGGAGCACAGGUUUACCUGUGUGACUGCGUACCUUUUGUAUAAUGGGUCAGCGACUUAUAUUCUGUAGCAAGGUUAACCGAAUAGGGGAGCCGGAGGGAAACCGAGUCUUAAUUGGGCGUUAAGUUGCAGGGUAUAGACCCGAAACCCGGUGAUCUAGCCAUGGGCAGGUUGAAGGUUGGGUAACACUAACUGGAGGACCGAACCGACUAAUGUUGAAAAAUUAGCGGAUGACCUGUGGCUGGGGGUGAAAGGCCAAUCAAACCGGGAGAUAGCUGGUUCUCCCCGAAAGCUAUUUAGGUAGCGCCUCGUGAAUUCAUCUCCGGGGGUAGAGCACUGUUUCGGCUAGGGGGCCAUCCCGGCUUACCAACCCGAUGCAAACUGCGAAUACCGGAGAAUGUUAUCACGGGAGACACACGGCGGGUGCUAACGUCCGUCGUGAAGAGGGAAACAACCCAGACCGCCAGCUAAGGUCCCAAAGUCAUGGUUAAGUGGGAAACGAUGUGGGAAGGCCCAGACAGCCAGGAUGUUGGCUUAGAAGCAGCCAUCAUUUAAAGAAAGCGUAAUAGCUCACUGGUCGAGUCGGCCUGCGCGGAAGAUGUAACGGGGCUAAACCAUGCACCGAAGCUGCGGCAGCGAACGUAUCACCCAAGACAACUUUACGGAGUUGACGAUUGACGGAGCGAAGCGACGUCAAAGCGUUCAUUAAAGUCGAGUUGGCUUAGGGAUACGUUCGUUGGGUAGGGGAGCGUUCUGUAAGCCUGUGAAGGUGUGUCGUGAGGCAUGCUGGAGGUAUCAGAAGUGCGAAUGCUGACAUAAGUAACGAUAAAGCGGGUGAAAAGCCCGCUCGCCGGAAGACCAAGGGUUCCUGUCCAACGUUAAUCGGGGCAGGGUGAGUCGACCCCUAAGGCGAGGCCGAAAGGCGUAGUCGAUGGGAAACGGGUUAAUAUUCCCGUACUUGGUGUUACUGCGAAGGGGGGACGGAGAAGGCUAUGUUGGCCGGGCGACGGUUGUCCCGGUUUAAGCGUGUAGGUGUGUGUUCCAGGUAAAUCCGGUUCACUUUAACACUGAGGCGUGAUGACGAGGCACUACGGUGCUGAAGCAACAAAUGCCCUGCUUCCAGGAAAAGCCUCUAAGCAUCAGGUAACAUCAAAUCGUACCCCAAACCGACACAGGUGGUCAGGUAGAGAAUACCAAGGCGCUUGAGAGAACUCGGGUGAAGGAACUAGGCAAAAUGGUGCCGUAACUUCGGGAGAAGGCACGCUGACACGUAGGUGAAGUGAUUUACUCA
rnacentral:rRNA from 1 species